rnacentral:rRNA from 1 species
GUGAGGAAUAUUGGUCAAUGGGCGGGAGCCUGAACCAGCCAAGUCGCGUGAAGGAAGAAGGAUCUAUGGUUCGUAAACUUCUUUUGCAGGGGAAUAAAGUGCAGGACGUGUCCUGUUUUGUAUGUACCCUGAGAAUAAGGAUCGGCUAACUCCGUGCCAGCAGCCGCGGUAAUACGGAGGAUCCGAGCGUUAUCCGGAUUUAUUGGGUUUAAAGGGUGCGUAGGUGGUUUGAUAAGUCAGCGGUGAAAGUUUGCAGCUUAACUGUAAAAAUGCCGUUGAAACUGUCGGACUUGAGUGUAAAUGAGGUAGGCGGAAUGCGUGGUGUAGCGGUGAAAUGCAUAGAUAUCACGCAGAACUCCGAUUGCGAAGGCAGGUUACUACUUGUGGAUUGACGCUGAUGGACGAAAGCGUGGGGAGCGAACAGGAUUAGAAACCCUGGUAGUCC